CCGUGCAAAGGUAGCAUAAUAAUUUGCCUCCUAAUUAGAGGCUGGUAUGAAUGGAUUUACGAAAGUAUAACUGUCUCCUACUAAAAUAUAUAAACUAAACUUCAAGUGAAGAUGCUUGAAUUUCACUAAAGGACAAAAAGACCCUGUUGAGCUUCACCUUCAAUAAGUAUUAUAACUUACUAAGGUUUAGUUGGGGCGACUAAGGAAGAAAUAAAGCUUCCUCAAUAAAUAGACUGAUGUGUCCUAUAAAUGAUCCGCAAAAGCAAUCUAAAGAAAA
rnacentral:rRNA from 1 species